GCAAGUCGAACGGUGAAAGCGGAGCUUGCUCCGCUGGAUCAGUGGCGAACGGGUGAGUAACACGUGGGCAACCUGCCCCUGACUUUGGGAUAACUCCUCGAAAGAGGAGCUAAUACCGGAUACGAACUCCUUGGGCAUCCUUGGGGUUGGAAAGUUUUUCGGUCAGGGAUGGGCCCGCGGCCUAUCAGCUAGUUGGUGAGGUAACGGCUCACCAAGGCGACGACGGGUAGCCGGCCUGAGAGGGCGACC
rnacentral:rRNA from 1 species